GGCAGAGGGGGGCGAUUGGGGGUGCUGGGGGGACACUCACCGCUCACAAGGUGUGCAGGCAGAGGGGGGCAAAGGGGGUGCUGGGGAGACACUCACCGCUCACAAGGUGUGCAGGCAGAGGGGGGCGAAGGGGGGUGCUGGGGGGACACUCACCGCUCACAGAAGUUGUGCAAACAGAGGGGGGCUAUGGGGAAACUCACCGCUCACAAAAGUUGUGCAAACAGAGAGGGGCGAUGGGGAAACUCACCGCUCACAAGGUGUGUGCAGGCAGAGGGGGGCGAUUGGGGGUGCUGGGGGGACACUCACCGCUCACAGGAGGUUUGCAGGCAGAGGGGGGCGAUUGGGGGUGCUGGGGGGACACUCACCGCUCACAGAAGUUGUGCAAACAGAGGGGGGCGAUGGGGACACUCACCGCUCACAAGGUUUGUGCAAACAGAGGGGGGCAAUGGGGACACUCACCGCUCACAGAAGGUGUGCAGGCAG